rnacentral:rRNA from 1 species
AACGUAGGUUCCGAGCGUUAUCCGGAUUUACUGGGCGUAAAGCGCGUUCAGGCGGUUCGGCAAGUCGGGCCUGAAAUCUCUCGGCUCAACCGGGAGAGGUUGUCCGAUACUGUUGGACUUGAGGGCAGUAGAGGGUGGUGGAAUUCCGGGUGUAGUGGUGGAAUGCGUAGAUAUCGGGAGGAACACCAGUGGCGAAGGCGACUUCCUGGCCUGUUCUUGACGCUGAGGCGCGAAAGCUAGGGUAGCAAACGGG